ACACCCUUAAAAAAAUGAAGAAAAAGGUCUGUCCACAGUCACACCUCUCAGACUGACUGGAAGAGUUUAGAGAGUUUGAGACGUUAGUUAGGGCCUGAAGGGGUUAACGCUGCAGACGAGACGCACCUGAGACGCACCUGCUGUAGAGAUGAAAGCAUGUCUUCUCAAAGUGGUUUUCUGCUUUUCACCAGAGCAAGAUGAACAGGCUGGUGUUUUCUUCCUCCUCGUUUGCACACAGCUUUAUUUAUUUCAACCCCGUCCAGGGAAAGCAGCUUACCAUAUGUUUGCAUGUGCUCUGUGGUGCUUAAUGGUGUUUUCUCUUUCUUUACUACCUCAUCAGGUCCAGCUCGAUGUGUCUCUGGCGUAGAUUAAUGAGGAGGAGAUAAUGAGCAGAGCUUCACACGAUCUGCUGAACAAAUCAAUGUCUCUCCAGAGUUUCCAAUUCCCAAUAAAAGCAAUACACUCAA